rnacentral:rRNA from 1 species
CCUACGGUAGGCUGCAGUGGGGAAUAUUGGACAAUGGGCGAAAGCCUGAUCCAGCCAUGCCGCGUGUGUGAAGAAGGCCUUCGGGUUGUAAAGCACUUUCAGUGGGGAAGAAAGCCUUGGGGCUAAUACCCUCGAGGAAGGACAUCACCCACAGAAGAAGCACCGGCUAACUCCGUGCCAGCAGCCGCGGUAAUACGGAGGGUGCGAGCGUUAAUCGGAAUUACUGGGCGUAAAGCGCGCGUAGGCGGUCUGAUAAGCCGGUUGUGAAAGCCCCGGGCUCAACCUGGGAACGGCAUCCGGAACUGUCAGGCUAGAGUGCAGGAGAGGAAGGUAGAAUUCCCGGUGUAGCGGUGAAAUGCGUAGAGAUCGGGAGGAAUACCAGUGGCGAAGGCGGCCUUCUGGACUGACACUGACGCUGAGGUGCGAAAGCGUGGGUAGCAAACAGGAUUAGAUACCCCAGUAGUC